GGCCCGUUAGUUCAGAUGGUUAGAGCCUGGUGCUAAUAAUGCCAAGGUCAUGGGUUCAAUUCCCCUAACUGGCCA
rnacentral:tRNA from 1 species